GACGAACGCUGGCGGCGUGCUUAACACAUGCAAGUCGAACGGAAAGGCCCUGCUUUUGUGGGGUGCUCGAGUGGCGAACGGGUGAGUAACACGUGAGUAACCUGCCCUUGACUUUGGGAUAACUUCAGGAAACUGGGGCUAAUACCGGAUAGGAGCUCCUGCUGCAUGGUGGGGGUUGGAAAGUUUCGGCGGUUGGGGAUGGACUCGCGGCUUAUGAGCUUGUUGGUGGGGUAGUGGCUUACCAAGGCUUUGACGGGUAGCCGGCCUGAGAGGGUGACCGGCCACAUUGGGACUGAGAUACGGCCCAGACUCCUACGGGAGGCAGCAGUGGGGAAUAUUGCAAAAUGGGCGGAAGCCUGAUGCAGCAACGCCGCGUGCGGGAUGACGGCCUUCGGGGUGUAAACCGCGUUCGCCUGUGACGAAGCGUGAGUGACGGUAAUGGGUAAAGAAGCACCGGCUAACUACGUG
rnacentral:rRNA from 1 species